GAUGAACGCUGGCGGCGUGCCUAAUACAUGCAAGUCGAGCGAACAGACGAGGAGCUUGCUCCUCUGACGUUAGCGGCGGACGGGUGAGUAACACGUGGAUAACCUACCUAUAAGACUGGGAUAACUUCGGGAAACCGGAGCUAAUACCGGAUAAUAUAUUGAACCGCAUGGUUCAAUAGUGAAAGACGGUUUUGCUGUCACUUAUAGAUGGAUCCGCGCCGCAUUAGCUAGUUGGUAAGGUAACGGCUUACCAAGGCAACGAUGCGUAGCCGACCUGAGAGGGUGGAGGGGCACAAGGAGACAUACAGACGGGAGAGAAGGAAGCGGGAAGCAGCAAUAGGGAAUGUGCGAGAAUGGGCGAAGGCUUGAAAGAGAAACGCAGCGGGGAAGAUGAAGGUGUUAGGAUCGUAAGACUCUGUUAUUAGGAAAGAACAAAUAUGUAAGUAACUAGGCACGGCUUGAAGGUACCUAAUCAGACAGCCACGGCUAACUACGAG
rnacentral:rRNA from 1 species